AUGGCCAGUGCCUGCACAAACGCCACCACUACCGUGCGUUCUGUGCGGCUGUUCAGGAUCGACGGUUUCAGCUUGGUGUCCAGCACCAUGGGCCACGACGAGUGCUUCAAAUUUAGGUGGGACGUCGAUGGGUACGAGUGGGAACUCCAUUGCUUUCCCUCGUAUUUUUCGGCGGUAUGGCUCAAGCUUAUGUUCCUCAGUGAUGCCGACGCCACAUGCAACGUGAGGGCGAGUCUGGGCUAUCUCCUCGUACAUCCAGGGCUGGAUGGAUUAUCCCAAGAGAGGCGAACGUCUGAUGUAUUCAAGCGUCCAAAUGACUGCACACAACAAGUCUACCUCGUGAAUAAAGUCGAUCUACCAGUGCCUAGCCGUUCGAGUGACGAUCAUUUGACUGUGCAGUGCACCAUCACAAUUCUGAAGGAUCUGCCGGAAGUGCCAACCUCAGUGCCCGUGCCCACCUCGAACUUGCACUUGCACUUCGGUGAGCUCCUGCGGAGUGGUACGGGAGCCGAUGUCACGUUCCUCGUCUCCGGUGAGUCCUUCCUUGCUCACAAGCUCAUUCUCGCUGCCAGGUCCCCUGUCCUGAUGGCAGAGUUCUUCGGACACAUGAGGGAGGCAAGUUCUCCAAAUGUUGUGAUCGAGGACAUGGAGCCGGCAGCAUUCAAGGCCAUGCUGCACUUCCUCUACACCGACACCGUGCCUGAACUUGACCAUGAGCUGCAGGCUGUGGCGCCGAUGGCUCAGCAUCUUCUUGCGGCUGCUGACAGGUACGGGCUGGAUAGGCUCAAAGUCCUCUGCGAGGGCAAGCUCUCUGGUGGCAUCACCAUCGACACAGCGGCGACGACUCUGGCAUUGGCUGAACAGCACAACUGCUCGCACCUCAAGACCAAGUGCAUCGAGUUCAUCAUCAGCACUCCUGCAGUCUUUGACGCCGUGGUUGCGACGGAGGGGUAUAGGCAUCUGGAGGCAAGCUGCCCUUCAGCACUUACUAGCAUUCUCCUGUCUAUGCGUGGGAGAAGGUACUGA
rnacentral:rRNA from 1 species